rnacentral:lncRNA from 1 species
CUGCAAGCUGUGAAAGAUCUAUUCACCCACAGAGAUUUAGAUUUUUGUGUCACACCUCUGAGCUUUUGAUAAAAGAAAAAGGAUGACCACUGUAUUUUGCAGAGAACUCACUUUUCCAUCAGAGGCAGGUCGUGUUGCAAACACAGAGGGAAAACUUAGGACAAUGAGGGAACUGGAACAGGCAGACUAAAAGCAGUUUUCUGAAUAAGUAUAUUUCAGGUGUAGGAAGCCCUAAGAGUUGAAAGGCAAAAGCCCUAAUUCUCCUCUGGUGCCAACUAAAUGUCUGGAAUAUUUGUGCCUGUAGUAAUCCAAACCCAAAAUGAACAGUUGAUGAAGUGUUCAAUGAAGC